UACGGGGGGGUAAGCGUUGUUCGGAAUUCCUGGGCGUAAAGGGCUCGUUGGCGGCCAACUCAGUAAUACGUGAAAUCCCUCAGCUUAACUGGGGAACUGCGUGUGAUACUGGAUGGCUUGGAUUUGGGAGAGGGAUGCGGAAUUCCAGGUGUAGCGGUGAAAUGCGUAGAUAUCUGGAGGAACACCGGUGGCGAAGGCGGCAUCCUGGACCAAUAUUGACGCUGAGGAGCGAAAGCCAGGGGAGCAAACGGG
rnacentral:rRNA from 1 species